AGAGAGAGAGAGAGAGAGAUGAGAGCGGCGAAAGUCUCAGGGAUCUUCAGAUGAUAGGGAAGAUAACCGUCUCAGAGAAACUUAUUCCCCAAGAAAAUAGAAUCUAGUGAAAAUUGACCUGUAUUUGCUCAGGUCAUUCAUCAUUGAUUCUGGUUAAGUUGCCAAUCAAAUCAUGAUGAUCCCUGGACGAGAAUUUUUUUUAAAAAGGGUGGAUCACAAAUAGAAAUAGGAGGAGGGGAGGGUGCAGAUGAAACGAUAAUAGCACUUGUAUGGAUUUUCUCGAAAUUGGCUGGAAUUUUCUGUGGAAGUGAAAGAUUUUUUCCCAAACGUCUGGUCAGAGAAAAAUAGAAAAUAACGAAUUUGAGAUUUUGGUCUUUUUUCUAAAACUAAAUAACUAAAAAUAAAAAUUUGGGCCACACAUGACGCAACUGAUGUUUGGAAGAAAGUCAUUUUUGGAGUUCUCUUCUCGACAGUAACCCACCAAUCGUUUGCUUAUCAAAGCUCCUGAAUUUCUAUCUGUCUGAUUUUUUGUUUUGUGGAACUUCCAGCGGUGUAGGACCCUUCAUUAAUCCAAAUGUGAAAUAACAAAAAAAAAAGAAAAAAAAAUCAAAUGACAAAACAAAAAUAUAUUUGUUUUAUCACUUUUGUAUGAUAAGUCUUCCAAUGGGUCUACUAGGAAAGAUAUAGGAUUAUCUUUAGUCUAUUAUUCAAGUUUGACAUUGUUUAACAAACCAAACCAGAAUAAAACAACCAACAUAAUACAAAUCUGUAUGAUAUGCUCUUGAUAUCUUAGAUAAUGAAUAUCACAUGUUGUUUCCAAAACAAAGACGUUAAACAAUAGAGAAAUCUACAAAUAAUAUCGUUAACUUUUUAAUCUUAUAGCUCAUUUAACUUCGUUAAGAAGUUUGGUCAUGCUUACAAGGGCAAAAAUAAUAUCUAAUGUGUGCAUAUUGCUAUAAUAUGUAAAUAAGAUAUAAGUAAGCAUCGAACUUGAAUUAUUAGGAGUGCAUUCUCAACAUUUGCCAUCUCAUACACCAAAGUUGUAAUGAUUUUGUAUAGAAAAUUAUAAGUAAUAAUAUUACUAUGACAUGCCCAACAAAUAUUAACCUGCUUUGCCCUUGCACGCUUCGGUCUCUUGUAUCAAUUAGUACCAAAAUGUUGUCACAACAAUAAUUGUAGCAUGCAAUCCGUAGUCUAAGAAAGAGCCUCAGGCUCUACAUGUAUCAAUGACACUCUUCUCAUUUGAUUCUUAGCUCCCAGAAGUUGAAUUUGCCAUGUAGAUCAUUUCCAAACACAUUCACAACCAUUAAGAAUGAGUUAUGUUUCCAUAAUCCAUCAACUGUACAAAUCUCUUGGCUUGGAUAGAUAUUAUGUUGUUCCUCAUGCACUUCUAUCCUUAUAAUAUUAGCCUCAGACCAUGUUUGGUAUUCUAAUUCCCCAUGUCUACCUGUCUCCAAGGGAUCCAUGUUGAUUCCUCUAAAUGAUUUAUCAUUUUUCUUUUUCCACAUAUAUCAAAUUAUCCAUGAGUAAGAGUUUCUAACCAUUUCUGGAUCUUCAAUGUUGUUCUUACACUAAAAGAGAUAAUUUGUAUUUGUAUAUGCACUCGAACUGUGGAAUACUAACGGGGAGGAAGGUGUUUCUACUAGGGCCCGUGUUUGUAUAGCUAAGAGACACUUAAAAGUAGCAUGUUAAAGGAUUCAUCAUCUACUCCGCAUUUGAGUUAAUAUGACAUCUCAUAUGACGACAUAUUAAAUUUAUGGCUAUAACUAGGUGCAUGAUAAGAUUUGCCACAUAAGAUGGUGAAUUUUAUGCGGCGCUUUAACCUUCCAAGAAAAGGAUUGAAUUUUUUUAUGCUAGCUUAUGAAUACAUCACAUUUGUUUCCUUUUCAAGUAUAUUCCUAGCAAUUCAAUACCCUGAUUUGACUGUGUACCCGUAUAACUCUCGCAAGACAUUUUGCGAUGUAGAGAUUGACUUAUGGCCAAGGAAUGUAUCAAAGGGAUAUCCUCCUAGGAAACAUAAUUUUCUAAUAACCUUAUAUUUCAUUAAUUGGUUCUCCAACGAGAAGAACACUCAAGGGAUAUCCUCUUGGAAUGGCUCUGCCAUGUCUUACCAUAAUCGUUGGAUAAUACAAUAAUCGUUGGUAUCCAUGGAUCAUGCCCGACUCUAAUUUUAUUUCCUGGAUGCACCUUAUGUCCUAUUACCAUAGCUAUUAAUGGCUUCGCUGCCAUAAUGCUUAUCCAACCAUAUUAGGGAUUGUACAAUCGAGUUUGAUCACAAUGGCGAACUUUGUCAUAAUAUUUGCCUCGCAACACCCUUGGUAGUAGUGAUUCUGGGAAUUAAACCAAUAUCCACAGUUCAUUUUCCAAUAAAGAAAUAUUGAAAUCAUGGAUCUGACAGAAUUCAAUACCUCAUUCCUGUUUUAGUAUACAAAGUUUUUUUCCAUUUUUUCCAAUGAAUUUUUUUCUUAGGUAGUUUAAACUACCUAAGAAAAAAAUUCAUUGGAAAAAAUGGAAAAAAACUUUGUAUACUAAAACAGGAAUGAGGUAUUGAAUUCUGUCAGAUCCAUGAUUUCAAUAUUUCUUUAUUGGAAAAUGAACUGUGGAUAUUGGUUUAAUUCCCAGAAUCACUACUACCAAGGGUGUUGCGAGGCAAAUAUUAUGACAAAGUUCGCCAUUGUGAUCAAACUCGAUUGUACAAUCCCUAAUAUGGUUGGAUAAGCAUUAUGGCAGCGAAGCCAUUAAUAGCUAUGGUAAUAGGACAUAAGGUGCAUCCAGGAAAUAAAAUUAGAGUCGGGNNNNNNNNNNNNNNNNNNNNNNNNNNNNNNNNNNNNNNNNNNNNNNNNNNNNNNNNNNNNNNNNNNNNNNNNNNNNNNNNNNNNNNNNNNNNNNNNNNNNNNNNNNNNNNUUUUUUUUUUUUUUUUUUGUCAUCAAAAUACAGACUCAUACUGACUCUGUGAACCAAACUGGGUGAUCUGCAUCCAUGUGAACGACGAAAGACGAUUGAUUUCGAGCACUGCGUGCUAGACUAUCCGCCUUUGAAUUGUGCGUCCGUGGUACAUAGAAGAUAUUUCUGUCUAAACAUAACUAGUAUAAUGUGUUUAUAAUUAAUGUAAGGGAAAUUAGGCUAGAUAGCUAAGAAAUAAAACAUAUUUAAGAAUCUAACUAAAAAAAAGAGUCACCAUUAUUAUUAUAUUAUGUACUAUAUUGCCCUUAGUAUCCGAUCACUAAAAUCUCAAACACGCUCUUCUUUAAUUACCAAUCGCCACCACCGUCAUUUCUUUCUUAAUCACCAUUGUAUCUUUAUUGUUGCCAUUUUCACUACAAUCACCACAAAUCUGUAAUCUUUGUUCAGUAUUUUAUAUUUUUAGGCCACAAUCCUAUCAACCAUCAUCUCUUCCUUCGUAAUAACUACCGCCUCUAUCAAUUCUGUUAUUCUCGUAUGUACUGUAAAUUUCAAGUUAAUAUAUACUAUUCUAUUUUCUUGUUACUAUUCUAUUUUAAUAAUGCUUUAUAUUAUGUACAAUGUGAGUGUUUUGAUAUUUGAAUUAGCGUUUAUAUUUCUUUUUAGGGUUUAGUGAUUAGCGUUUUGACUUUUGAGUUUAGUUUAUGGAAAGUUUGGGUUAACAUUGGAGUAAACAUUACCUUCUUUUCUUUAAUCAUAGACAUUUCAAAAUUUGAACAAUAUGUACUACGCUAUUUCAUUUGUUACUAUUCUAUUUUGAUUAUGCUUCAUGCAUAUUUUGAUAUUUGGAUUAUAGUUUAUAUUUUCUUUUAGGAUUUAGUGAUUAGUGUUUGGGUUUGGACGUAGAAAUCAUCCAUAGAUGUAGAGGAGGAAACACAAUUCAUUUUCGAAUAUACCAUUCUAUUUAAUAAUUUUACUAAUACUUGCCAUACCACCAGUUUGCUCUAUACUAUUUCUAAUCUAUGUUAUAAAAAAUCAUUGGUUCCUAUAUAUCUACAUCCACCACUUUCUUUGUAACCACCACCACCACCAUUGUCAUUACCAUCACGAUCACCACCUAUCUCAUUGUCUCUUUUAUAUACUUCAAAUUAUCACAAUUUUACCAUACCACCGUACUCACAUCCAUUGCUAUGAUACUAUGAUAAUCAUCACCAUCAGAAUCCAUAUCUGCCCCUACCGUAAUCAUCACCACUGCCGAUACAAUAAUCACCAUCGUCGCGAUAACUGUCACAAUUGUAACAUCAAAACUAUUAUCAUCACCGGUUGUUUCAUAACUGUUACUGUUUUUUUAUCUCUAUCAUCAACCAUGCCUCGUAAUUUCCUUUCAUUUUCUUCUUUUCAGUUUUAACAUAAUCAAUAAUUUUCUUUAUCGUAUAUUUGCAAGACAAAAGGUUAAAAUCGGAUUUUCUUCUUUUCAGUUUUAAUGUCAUCAGUUAUUUUCUUUACCGUAUACUUAUAAGACAAAAGGUUAAAACUAGAAAGAAAAGGAAAGAAAGUGUUAUCCAUUUAAUUAUUUCAAAUAGGCCUGGGCAAAAGGCCCGAACCCGAUUACCCGAACCGAACCCGGUCCGUUUAAGGUGGUAUGGGUCGGGACCGGAUCUGUCAAAAAAACCGAAUGGGCCUGAUGUCUUGCUACUGUCGGGUGUCGGGUCGGAUCGGUUAAAACCCGAGAGCCCGAAUGGUUACACCCGAAACCCGCCUCUCAUUAACCCUAAUCCCCUUUUUCCCCAAAUCGUAUCGCGAUUUUAUUUUUUCUUUAUCUUCAAGGAGAGAAUCCAUGAAACCUUUCCUAAAUCUCGAUCUCCCAAGAUAUCCUCACCGAAAUGAUUUCCUAAGUCCGAUUAUCGGAUAUCUCCAACUGUUUUUGCACCUCCUAUCCGAUUCUCUUCCUCGAUUUGAACCCGAUACCCUAAGUCUAAGAUCCUAUAAAUACUUCUGCUAUCAUCAUCGUCUCCUCCAUCACAUAUCUCAAGUAAUCAAGCAAAGGUACACCUCCUUUUACAGAGUACUCGAUGCUUGUUUAAAUUUUUUUUUCUUGCUUUCGGGUUUUUGGGGUUUGGUUCAAUUUUUAAGAUUGAAAAACUUAUGUUUUGUUUCGUAUUAAGCAAGCAUCACGAUUCACGAGUAAUCAUAGGUUCUUUUACAUGAACUUGCUGACAUGUGAAAUGAAAACAUAUCGUGCAUUUUGAUGUUUGUUGUAAGGAAGUCUUAUGUUUUGGGUUUGUUGUACGAGUAAUAAUAGGUUCUUUUUCAUGAACUUACGGUUUUGUUUCGUAUUAAUCAAGGUUGAUGUUUGUUCUUCGGCUAUGAGCUGAGUUUACGGUUUUUCAUGAACUUACGGUUUUUAUGAACUUACGGAUAUAUAUGUUUUCCAAACUAAUUUUGUACAUGUUGAUGUUUCUUCUUCGGCUAUGAGCUGAGUUUUUGGAUAGAAACUAAUAACUGAAUUGUUUCUUUUGAUGUCACUGAUGGUAAUUUUUAUUCUCAUUCUCUUGCAGAUGGUUUCCUCAUCCUCCAAAAUCCCACACACCGUUGAAGAGACCAUGGACGUUGACGUUCAAGUUGAAGGAGAAGAGUGCCAACGAACUCAAAACCGUGGGAAGGCCAUUGCUGUUGAUGCAACGUCUGGUGUCUCUUCUCAGUCAAAGAAGGUGAUGAAAAUCGUUGUGCCAAGGUCUGGUGUCUGGAAGCAUUUCACCCGAACCAAAGAAAGUCGAGACAGAUGCAUCUGCCACUAUUGCCAGAAGAUCUUCUCAUGCGCUACCAAAUCAGGAACAUCAAACCUCCAGAAGCAUCUGUCCAUCUGCAAAGAGUACCAAGCUUGGUUAACCAGCCAAGGUAUGAAUAAGAUGGAGAUCAACACUGAUGGCAACCUGAAGUCAUCAAAAGUUGCAGAGGCUGUUUUCAGAGAGGCAUCAAAUGAGUUGAUCGUGCUAGGAGAACUGCCUCUUUCAUUUAUUGAAAGCAGUGCUUGGAAACACUUCUGCAGAAAGGUAAUUCAUUAAUAUACCAUUACCUAUUUUUUUAUCUUCCUUUUAACAUGAAAAAUUACUAAUACGUUUGUUAUUUACACUUGCAAGGUAAACCUCUACAAGCCACACUCGAGAAGGACUGCCACCAGAGACAUCGUUGAGAUGUAUGUGAGGAAGAAAGCAGCUUUGAAAAACAUGCUUCGCACAACCAAACAAAGAGUGUCACUUACAACUGACAUUUGGAUUUCACAGGUCACAGGUAACUUCUUUACAGCUUUUUUUCUUCGUUUUAUUUAUGCUAUACUUUGUUCUAGCAUAAAAUGUCAGUUUUUUAAAUUUCUAAAGUCAUUUUUAAAAAAAUUACUAACAAAGAAUGUCACUUAGAACUUCUAUGCAUCUGAUAUAUUUAUAAAGUUUUUUUUUUAAUUUCUAAACUUUGACUUUGUUUGUUUAAUUUGUAACAGGUGCAAGUGACAUGGUGAUAACUGCCCACUUCGUGGACGCAACUUGGCAGCUGAAGAAGCUUAUCAUAGGCUUCAAGUACGUGAUGGACCACAAGGGGCAGACCAUCGCAACUGUGCUCUUGGAGUGUCUAGCUGAAUGGGGCAUUGAGAAGGUAUUUUGCAUUACAGUAGACAAUGCGACUGCUAAUACUUCUGCCAUUAGGAGAUUCCAUAGGGAUUUUAGUGAUGUAUCCCCUGAGUCUUUAGUUCUAGACGGGAGUUUCUUGCACAUGAGGUGCUGUGCUCACAUCAUCAAUUUAAUUGCUAAGGAGGGUUUGACCGAGGUAGGAGAAAAUGUGUUAGCCAUUAGGAACGCUAUUCAGUAUGUUCGCUCUUCAACACCUAGGCUUAAUGCAUUUGAUCUUAGAGUCACUACUGGGAGAAUGAGUCGAGGUAGCUUACCUAUGGAUAUUAAGACUAGAUGGAAUUCAACCUUCCUUAUGCUGUCUAGGGCUCUUCAGUUUAGAACUGCAUUUGAUAGGAUGGAGGCAGAAGAUAGGUUGUAUAAUGAUUAUUUUUUAGAGAUGGAAAAUGGGGUUAAGAGGUGUGGACCACCUUCUUUGAGAGACUGGAGUGCUGUUGAGAAGCUCAAGAGGUUUCUCAUAAUCUUUUACAACAGCACUCUGGUUGUUUCUGCCUCUACGUCGGUGAAUUCUUACAAGUGCUACGGUGAGAUAGUGACCAUAGAAAGAAACCUCACUGCACUGGCCAACAGCUUCGAUCCUGAGUUGAAGGUGAAAGCGUCAGAGAUGUUGCAGAAGUUUCUCAAGUACUGGGAUGGUAUCAAGAGUGUCAACAGGAUGCUGAUCUUGGCCAUGGUUUUCGAUCCAAGGAAUAAGAUGCAAUUUGCAAAGCUGUGCUUUGAGAAGCUCUAUGAGAAGGAGAGCUUAGAGUCUAAUGCAAUGCUGGAAUCUGUUGGUGAUCUUCUCAGGUAUAUGUUUUAUAAUCAUUAAUUUUAAUCUUGUGAACCUCAAUAAUAAUGCCUCCAAAACUUGUAUAAAUAUUUUAUUUAUGUUUUUGGAGCUCAGGUCUAUGUUCAAGGAGUACAAUACAAGAUUCAGAGGGUCUACUGGAGAAGCCUCUCAGUCAAAUCACGCAUCAUCAUCUCAGCCUCCUCCAGAGUCGCAAGAUCAAGGCACAUAUAGAAUGGAGCUGGUGGUUGAAGAUUUUGGUUAUGAGCGGAUGGAUUGUGUGUACAAGGAGAUGGUUGCUGAAAAGGGAGAUGAUACAAGGGACGAACUUGAAGUGUACUUGAAGGAGGCAGUUGAAACUCCUAAGCUCUUGCUUGGUGUGGAGUUUGACAUUCUCGCUUGGUGGAAGGUUCACAAGAUGAAGUAUCCUGUGCUUGCUGAAAUGGCAAGAGAUCUACUCGCCAUGCAAGUUUUAUCAGUGGCAUCCGAAAGUGCUUUUAGCACAAGUGGGAGGAUCUUGGAGUCAUAUCGGAGUUGCUUAAUUCAUUACAUGAUAAAAGUUCUCAUGUGUACUGAGCAAUGGAUGCAUGCUGACAUCAAGGUGAGUGAACAAGUCACUACAAAUGAGCAAAUACUUGCUGAUGUGGAGUUGCUUGAUCGACUUCAGAAAGGCCUGUCUAUCUCUUCACUUAGUUUCUUUAUACUGUCUUAUGUAAUGUAUUUGUAUAUGCUAAGCUCCUUUCUUAUGCUUUGUUUUUAUGUUGCAGAGUUUCAAGCUCAAACGCUUGAUGAUUGAAGCUUCAAGGUCGAAGCAUGAAGUGGAAGAAGGCGGGUGAAGGUUGAAGCAUGGAGCUUGAAGUUUUCUGCAUUUGGUUUUUAUUUCUUCGAAGUUUGCGUACUGUUUCUCAUUUUGGUUCUAAGCAUUACAUUAUGGCUUUGUUUGCAAUUGCAUUCUCUGAGUUGUUAAGUUUUUGACUCUACUAUCAAUAAUAAAGGUGCUUUGGUUUUAUAUCAGUGUUGCCUUAGGGGUUAUGAGAAUUUUCAAUGCUUUAUUUCUUUGUUUUUUACUUACUUGCAGUACAAGUUACGAAUUUAUUUUGUUCUGUCAUGGUUACAUUCGCUACAAUUAGUACCUUUAAGAACCGAAAUACAGACCAAAACCCGAUCCUGAAAUUAUCCCGGGUUAUACCGGUUCCACGCCAGUCUACCAACCCCGACCCGAACCGUAUAGCCCCCGAACCGAUCUUCAGUUUUACCCGAAUGGGGCUUGUUUUUGUUAACUAAUAAAACCCGAACCCGAUUAGGAUGGACCCGACACCCGAAUGGUACACCGGUUACCCAGCCCUAUGUAUAUAUAUCAUUUCUACGCGAUUACAUAUUACAUCGAUUUAUUUUGAGAUAUAAGAUGAUUGAAAAUCCUCUCGAUUAGUCUUCAUUUAGCUAAGAAUUAGAAAAUUAUUACAAUCGUAGACGUUCUUUUAAGAUUUUGCAUUUUUAUCUCUCAUACUUUAAGGGUGCAGCAGGUGACCAAAGAAUAAAAGAGAAUAAUGCAUUUUUUACUAUUUCUAAUUUCUUUUACCUUUUACAAGGAAUUGUUUUUCCUUUGCAUUUCUUCUCGUUCCUUCUAUUUUAGAGUAAUAUAAUUCUUCACUAAAAUUGAUAAGGAAUCAUUUUUCUUUUCGUUCCUUUAAUAUUAUUUCUCUGCAUUUUUUUCUAUUCAUUCCUAAUAUUCCCGUAACGGUCACCGGUUUAUAGUAAACAAUUCCUUGCGGAUAGUCGCUUGGUAAAAACGUACAAAUAGAACGUUGUUAUUUUCUCAUUUAAAUCACAUCGAACCGACAGAAAUUAUUCAUCCAACUUUUUUUUCUAUCAACUAAAAUUGAUUUAUAAUGUAUGGGAUUGUUGACAAAAGAGGUAGAAGAGAAAAACUAAUAUAAUAGCAAAACCAACAUCCGAUUUUUAAUCACGUGAAACUAUAUUCUUUUAUAUAAAAGUUUUAUGUAUAAAAGAAGCUAUUUUAAAAGGGGGAAUAUUAUAAAGACUACAACUUUGUUGGCAGAUAGAAAAUAAAGAAAAAACGAAAACUUUAGUGUAUAAAAUUGUGACAAAACGAGAGGAGAAAGUUUUACAAAAAAAAGUGUUACAAAAAAAAACGAGAGGAGAAAGGAGUGAACUUUUGCAUUGGGUUCCAUUUUUUAUCAUAGAGUCGGCCUUCUUCUGGCUGCUUGUGGCCUUGUGGGCCUUUCUCGUUGCACCGACCUUUUUACUUCCAUUGCAUCUAUCUGCUUUUUCGAUUUAACAAUUUAAUCAUAUGUUAAAAAUGUCGCAUUAGAACUUAAACUAUUGUUACACAAUAGUGAUCAAUGGUAUACUAUUUAUUCAUGUUAAAAAAAAAUACGAUUCUCAUUUUCUAUACACUAAUACUUUAAGAAAUUACUAGAAAUACUAUAAAUUAGCUAUCACUUUUCAAAAAUACAUGCAAUCAAAAAUAUUUUUAACAUUUGGGUUUAAAAUUUAGUGAUUAUUGUUUAGGAUUUAGUAUUUAAAGGGUGAGAUUAAAUUUAUAAAUUUCUAUUGAUGUUUUGUAGCUAAACAUUUAUAAAUGUUAAUUAGUUUAGUCUUUUUCAUCACAUAAAUAUUUAUGAAAAUAAUUAUUUAAAAGGUUAAUUUGGAAAGUGAUAUCAAUUUUGUGGUCAAAUUGAAAUUUUUAUAUUUAUUUAUUUCAACUAGUACGAUGUUAUAAGUUAAUCUAUUCUUAUAGUUUAAUCAACCGGCAGAAAAAUAUAUUAACCAUACUAAUGUUUCUUAAUUUUUAUCCCUAUUCAGGAGUUCUACUGGCCUGAGAACUAUGUGAUCACAAAGACAAAGAGCCCAUAGUCGAGUAAUACUGAAAACGAAGAAAAGUUUUAAACCUACUUUUAUUCCUGAUUUAAAGAGAUUAUUAGGAAGAAUUAAAUUAUUUGAUUACACAUCUAUUUUCAUUUCAUCUAUGUAACUACGUAGUACGUUGUCUUUCCAGACAUAACAUAUUUCAUAUAUAUCUAUCAAAAUUUUGACAUAUGAAAAUUAAUAAAUAAUUUUAUUUUAAAAUAAUAUAAAUGAACUAAAAAUAAUCACUAAACCAUAAAAUCAAAUGUUAAGGUAUUUGAAAAGAGGUAAUUAACUUAUAGUAUUUCUCGCAAUUUCACAAAUAAAAAUAAGGAAAUGUGAAUAGAAUAAUUUAUCAUAUAAAUGCAUAUAAAUACAUAUCGGAUGAUUAAAAAUGAUGAAUUUGUGAAAAUGCAAUAAAUAUAAGAAAGUAAAAGUUCUAUAUAUAACAAGAGUUAUAAACUAAUGCUUCUAUAUAAAAAAUAAAUAAUCAGAAAACAGAUAUAUGAAGUAUAUUAGUCUCAAAUAAUCUAAACUACUAAUAAUAUCUACAGAUACACAUAAGUUUGAAGAAGAAACAAACACAUAUGUACGCGUACUUCAUAUACAUAUAGCCUAUAUGAUAUAGGACGACAAGUUUGUUCAAUAUGUCCCACGUUACAUGCAUCAUCAUCCCACCACCAUUUAAAUGAAUUUAUAUUUACCAUUUUCUAGUAGAAUACAAAAAUAGAAUGGAAUAUAAGAUAAUUAAACUAAAAAUAUGAUUGAUUAUAAAGUGUAUCUCAUAUGGUACAUCAAACCCUACGAAAUCAGUUUUUUUCUUUCUUUCUUUUCUAUGUCGAAUAGAUUACAAAGGCUUUGUAACCCUGUCCUAAUAUUUUUUUUUUUCCCUGUCCUAAUAUUCAUAUCACAUAUAAUGUUAUAAUCCUAAUUUGUACGUCAAAUUGUAGUUUCUUUACAGACAAAAUCCUAAAACACGACCUAAAUUGGUACUGUCAACGUACGAACACACUUUAGACAAGAAGUCUAUAGACUAUAUAUAGAGUGCAACUGGAUUACAAUAUUUUGGAAUGAAAUGAUGUGGAAUGGUGAAUUCCAUUGAUUCCAAAUUUUUUUUUUUACCAUUUGAUAUGAAUGGAAUGAAAUAAUCAUUUCACUAAUUCAAAAAAUAUUUUGAUAAAAUACAAAGAAAAAUAUUUCAUAACAAAAUUGCUCAUGAAUGAAUGGUAUGUAUUUCUUUCCAUUUUCUUACUGUAUUUCAUUCCUAUAAUUCCAUUUAUUUUAGUUUCAUUAAUUCCAAAUCAAUUUACCAGUUAUAGUUAUAGUAUAUUAGUACAGGCAGAAUAAUAGUAAUUCAGAUAUAAUUUUAUUUUUUUGAUCAAGUAAUUCAGAUAUAAUUUAAAAACAUUCAUCAUAUUUACUUUGCAAAACUAAAGUAAGUGAUUUGUCAGAGACUCAGAGUGCUUCGCUGUUUAUAACAAGCCGUUGGUUUCCACUAUGGUCUCACGCGUACCUCAACCCCUAUGGUCAAAGUUUGAACUAACUGAUCCCAAUUAAAUAUUUAGUUUUAACUUUUACGUCUUAACUAAAAAUGAGAUUAGUUUAUCUUAUGACAUGUGAUUACCCAUAGGAAAGUACACAUAUAAGUCCGAUUCAAGAAAAUAUAUUUACAUUUCAUUCUUUUGAACUGUUUUACGUAACAACGGUUAGUUGUCCCAAAAAAAAAGUAACAACGGUUUGGAGUGAGUGACAUAUAAAAGCAUCUUCAACUCAACUCUAUUUUUUUUCAAACAUCAUCUCAGAAUAAAAUAUUUUUUUAACCUCACUUCAUUUUUAAUUUUAAAAUGGAGUAAUGACUAGGAUUAUUUCAUUUAUAGAAUAAUCUUACACAUUAUUUUGAAGUUGAACUUUUUUAUUUAUAGAACAGUUUUUUAAAUCUUAAAUAUUUUUAUUUUAUAUUUUUUUUUCAUUUUAUUUAAUACUUCAUAUUUAAAAAUAAUACAGUAACAUAAAAAAUAUGAUUUUCCUAAGAGAAUAUUUAAUAAUUUUAAAUAAAAAUGCAUAAACUAAUAAAAAUACCAAAAAUAAGCAUAAAAAUAUAAAAUAAAUAAUUAAGUUAUUUCAUAAUCCGGUAAAUCAUUUUUGGAACCACCAAGAUCAGUGAAAUAUAAAACGAUAAAAAUGACCGGUUUAAAAAUAUAUUUUGCUCAAUUUGAAAAAUUCAAAGAUAAAGAAACUCAUUAUUCAUUAUAAAUUGCAUUAGUUGAACCAAAAUAUGCUAUCUUAUAUAUAUUUAUGAUUAUUGAACUUUUUAAUAAUAAAUGUUUAGUUUAAGUAAAUUAUAUUUUAUGGAAUUUUUGUAAACAUAAAAUAGUUGGGGUUAAUUGAUAAUUUUUUAUAAGUAUAAGAUAUUACUAAUAAUUAUUAAUUAAAUAAAAAUAUAAUUAUUUUGGAAUAUUCUUUUGGAGUAAAAAUAGAAUGAUUCAUUGGAGUAGAACCCAGUUCUUUUUUGGUGUUGCGGCAUUUUAGAGGAAAAUGAAGUAAUACAUUGGAGAUGCUCUAAAUAAAGAAUUACCAAAAAAGAGGGUUUAAGUUCGGUUAAUUGAAUCGAAGCUCUUUUGCAUGAUCUUUUUUAAGUUACAGCUAGAUAAAACAAAUUUAAUUAAGUCUCACAAAGAAUUUGAAAGCCAAAACCAACGGUUGCUGGUUGUAUCACGUAAAAUUGUCCUCUACUCACUGUUUUUUCUUCUUCUUUUUUGGUUCACCGUUCUAUACUCUUUUAACAAAACAACAAGAACAACAUGGUCAAUCUCCUUGCAAUAAUUGUUCUUUUUUUUGUUAAAGAAUAAUUGUUCAAUAUUGCCUCACAAAUCUUAGGACAUUCGGUUAGAAGUGAUUUCGUUUUUUUAAUCUUCUUUUAGAAGACAAAAACAAAACCCAAACCAAAUCGCCAUCUAAGAGAAUCAUGAAAUAAACAUAAGUUUAAUCUUCUUUAAAAAAAAAAAAAAAAAUUCAUUAAUAUUAAUCAACUCUAAUAAAAGGGGUCAUAACAAUUUUACAUAGUGGUCCAAUGGACUGGAGAACUGAAGUUUCAUCUCCAACGAACACUAGCAGCGACCAAAUCAAAUGUCCCCGUGACUUCUGUAAAGUCGCAAUGUCAUGACCAACCCUUCGAUUUGUGCACGGUAAACUGUAAGUGAUAAGCCCCAUCCCCCACAGAGUAGUCUCGUGUUCUCUGUUAGUUUGAAUGAUUUCCUUGAUGUAUUCACAAGAUUACAAAGGUAUAUAUCAGCCAAGCUGUUACACGUGAGAGCUAACUAUUCCUACAAUAUAGGGGCUGUUACAAACAGAAUAAUAUUCCGCAAGAAUAGGGGCAUAUUCUUUCACCCUCCCUCAGUCGAAGCGUUCGGUUGUCGGACGGUGAGACUGGUUCGGAAGUCAUUGAACAACGAGGUAGGUAGCCCCUUUGUGAAGAUAUCCGCAUAUUGAUAUGUUGUUGGAACGUGUAGCACCUUGACUUGUCCUAACGCGACCUUUUCCCUUACGAAGUGAAUGUCUAAUUCGACAUGUUUGGUGCGCUGGUGUUUUACCGGGUUGACUGAUAGGUAUACUGAGCUGAUAUUAUCACAGAAAACAAGAGUGGCACGAGAAGCUGGGCGAUGAAGCUCCAAGAGUAAGUUGCGUAUCCAGCACGUCUCUGCAACCGUGUUCGCCACGCCUCUGUAUUCUGCUUCUGCACUGGAGCGAGAGACCGUUUGCUGCCGUUUGGAUGACCAGGUGAUUAGGUUGUCGCCAAUAUAGACACAGUAACCUGAAGUAGAUCGUCUGGUGUCCGGACAUCCAGCCCAGUCCGCAUCAGAGUAGGCUGUGAUGCUGGUAGAGGUCGGCUUGUACAUUUGUAAGCCAUGUCCCUUCGUGCCUUGAACAUAGCGUAUGAUGCGUUUAAGUGCGUUCAAGUGUUGCGUUCUUGGAUCAUGCAUAAAGAGGCAUACCUGCUGCACUGCAUAGGCUAAGUCUGGGCGUGUGAAGGUAAGGUACUGAAGAGCACCUGCGAGGCUUCUGUACUGCUUAGGAUUUGCGAUUUUUUCUCCUGGUUCCGCAGACAGCUUUGAAUUGACGUCAGCUGGAGUUGAAACCGGCUUGCAGUCUGACAUUCCAGCUCUCUCGAUGAUCUCUGUUGCAUAACUUUUCUGAGACAAGAACAUGCCAGCAUUGUUAUAUUCUACCUUGAUUCUCAAGAAAUAACUGAGUUUGCCCAUAUCUGUCAUUGGGAAUUCUUUUUGUAGACUUGUAAUGAUCCUUUGUAGCAAUGCAGGGCUCGAGCCAGUGAGGAUUAUGUCAUCAACGUAUAAAAGGAGAUAGGCAAGGUCAUUGUUGUUUUUGUAAACAAAGAAAGAAGCAUCUGAUUUUGUAGUUACAAACCCGAGACGCUGAAGGAAUGAGCUGAAGCGAGCAUUCCAUGCGCGAGGGGCCUGCUUGAGGCCAUACAAUGCCUUUUCCAACUUACAAACGUGAUGCGGAUGUUGUUUGUCUACAAAACCGGGAGGCUGAUGCAUGUAUAUAUCUUCCGUGAUCGUGCCAUGAAGGAACGCAUUCUUGACGUCUAAUUGCCUCAGUUGCCAUCCUCUGCUUAGCGCUUCAUUGAGCACCGUUCUGAUUGUCGCCGGUUUCACCACUGGACUAAAGGUCUCAUCGUAGUCUAUCCCCUCUUCUUGUGACUUUCCAUUUGCUACCAAGCGCGCCUUGUGUCUUUUUGGUCUGCCUUCUGCAUCAAGUUUCAACUUAUACAGCCACAAAGAGUUAAUUAUGUUAACACCUACUGGCCGUGGUACAAGCCUCCAUGUCUUAUUGAUAACCUGAGCAUGAUAUUCUUCUGUCAUUGCCGGAUUCCAAUUGGGAUCUAACAAAGCUUUUUGAUGAUUGUUUGGAAUGCGAGAGGCAGAGGAAGUAAGAAGAGAAAAGAUUUUCUUUGGCUUGACUAUACCAAGCUGACCACGAGUUGUCAUCCUCGGUGCAGGAGCUUGAGGGAUGACUCUGGUUUGAGUUGGAGCAUGUGGAGCAGCUGGUGAAGUUGGUGGCGGAGGUAUAGUGUUUGGUGGCAAAAGAGAUUGAUUUUGAAGGAUAGACUGAAACAUAGGUGAUGUUGCAGAAUCAAGAAAGGUGUACGUUGUUUGGGGAGAGGAUGUUUUCUGAGCUUUAGGAAAUGUAGACUCGUCAAAGAUAACGUGUCUUGACAUUAUGAUUUGGUUGGUUUUGAGGUCUAGACAUCGAUAGCCUCGUUGAUUGACAAGGUAGCCUAAAAACAGACAUGGCUUAGAGCGAGCAGCCAGCUUGUGAAGGUUGGAAUGAUUGACAUUAGGGAAACACAAGCAUCCAAACACACGAAGAUGAUUGUAUGUUGGUGGGCUACCAAAAAGAACCUGAUGAGGGCUUUGCUUGUUAAUGGAGGAAGAGGGCAAAAUGUUUGUGAUGUGACACGCAACGUGAAGAGCUUCAGCCCAAAACGUUGGCGAUAUCUGAGCUUGAAAGAGAAGAGAGCGGAUGGCAUUGUUUAAAGUGCGAAUCAUUCUUUCAGCUUUGCCAUUUUGCUGAGAAGUGUAGGGACAGGUAAACCUGAAAAGAAUCCCAUUUUGAUCAAAGUGUUUUGAGAACUGAGUAUUCUGAUAUUCCCCCCCGUUGUCACAUUGAAGAGCUUUGAUAUUUGCCUCAAAUUGGUUCUUAACAUAAGUAGUGAAAUGAAGGAAUUUAGAAAACACUUCACUCUUUUGUCUCAAGGGAUAGACCCAAACAAAGUGAGAGUAGUCAUCGAGAAAUAGAACAUAAUACUUAAUACCGCUGAGGCUUGGUAUUGGAGAUGUCCAAAUAUCCGAGUGGAUAAUAUCAAACGGUUUUGAAGUUUUAUUAGAUGACUGAGAGAAAGGAAGUUUAAUGUGUUUACCCAGUUGACAAGCAUUACAAAAGGGAAUGCUGUCCUUAUUACAAAUGAAAGAGCUAGAAGAGAUUAGAGAUUUUAAUUUCUCGUUAUUUGCGUGUGCCAAACGCUUAUGCCAUAAAGAAGGAGAAGCUGAAACAAAAGCUAAAUGUUCUUGAGGUCGCUGGAGAUGCGACGGGACCGAGUAGAGUUCUCCAGAGCUUUCACUGCGGAGUAGAGUUUUCUGAGACUGAAGAUCCUUCACAGAAAAACCAAAUGGAUCAAACUCAACAGAACACCAAUUAUCUCUUGUAAAUUUUCUUACAGAGAUUAAGUUUUUGAUUAUAUUUGGUGCAACAAGAACUUUGUUUAGAUGUAAGGGACGAGAGGUGGAAGGAAGGAAAGAAUUUCCACCAGAUAAAAUAGGGAUAGAAGAGCCGUUUCCAACAAUGACAGUGUGUUUGGUGUUCAGUUUAUCAACAGACUGUAGGUUACCUGGCGUUGAAGUUAGGUGUGAAGUUGCUCCUGAAUCCAUGUACCAGUUGCUGCUAGGUUCUUGGAGAGUCAUGGUAUUGAACAUCUCUGAGAAGUCUCGCGUAGGUUGGUAGUUGUUAUCCAUCAUGUGUGCCUCUUGUGGUGAUGUAGUUGUUGGUCGUUGGGAGAAUGAGCGUUGUUGCAUGGCGUUUGAUGGAUAAGACAUCCAUGGAUUGAGUUGCUGCUGCUGCCAGUUGUUGAACGGGGCAUUCCAGUACUGAGGUGGUGGCAUGUUCCAGUUCAUGUAGUUCUGCCGCUGAUUAAAGUUGUAGUUGUGGCGGCCUCUUCCACGAGAUCCUCGCCUAUUACCUCUGUUUCCCCUUUUUUGAUUCUGUUGGCGUUGCUGAGUGUCCGGUCGUGACGUGGAGUCAGCGGUUACAAGCGCCGUAGAGGAGGAGGCAUUGUCUUUGUGUGAGGCAGUGACUUUGGUGGACUUCUUCAACCGGGUUUCUUCUAGCUCAAGCAUGUUGCGAGCUUCUUCAAACGUUGGGUAAGGCUUCUAAUGCUUGAUCACAUUAAUGAUGUGGUCAUAUUUCUCAUUCAACCCGUUGAGCAUGUACAUGACAAGUGUCUUGUCGGAAACAGGGGCAUCAACGUUUUCAAGUAGAUCAGCGAUUGAUUUUAGUUCCUGAGAGAACUCGCGAACAGUUUGAUCCCCUAUCUCCUUCGUCCUGAGAUCAUUGUCAAGCUGAAUAGCUCGAGAAUCCUUGUUGUUACGGAAUUGGUUCUCUAUGCGCAGCCACACGUCGCGGGCUGUUCCACCAGUUUUGAAGGAUGAUUUGAACAGCGGUGGUGCAAGCGUCCCGUAAAUCCAGAGCUUGACAAGACCGUCACGUUUCCUCCAUAAAACGUCGUCAUCAUCAUCUGGUACAGUCGAACCAUCGACAUGACCUAAGAGGUCAAAUGUCAAGCAGUGCGUGAGGAACAAUUCCCUCCACGCAUCAUAGUUGAACACGUCUAGAUCCAACACCAGUGGGAUGUGAUGUUUGAUGUUUGUCACUCCAAAUGCUCUCUCAACCGUAGCCAUGAUAGUUUGAUUGUAGAAGAGUGUUUGGGAGAUAGCAAACGAAAAAAGAAGGAUGAAAAAGAGAAGGAUCAAGAAGAAUCCUGCUCUGAUACCAUGUUAGUUUGAAUGAUUUCCUUGAUGUAUUCACAAGAUUACAAAGGUAUAUAUCAGCCAAGCUGUUACACGUGAGAGCUAACUAUUCCUACAAUAUAGGGGCUGUUACAAACAGAAUAAUAUUCCGCAAGAAUAGGGGCAUAUUCUUUCAUUCUCAAACACCGACACCAACAAAGAACCAACUCUCAAAAACCUAGCUUUGUAUACUACAAGUGUCUCGCUGUCGAUCAAAUCCUGAAGCCCACACACAUCUCCAUUUCAAUCCGGUCAAGAGGAGCUACAAUUCAAAGAGGGAGAGUAGAACUGGGAACCGUCAUCCCCAAAAGAGUUCCAUCGUCGUCGAAACCACCUCACAACAUUCAGUACAAGCACCUAAUCUUGAUGACUGACUUGCGGAGUCUAUAGAAACCUCACCACUGUCCUCAAGCAGCCACGACACUCUCCUAUAGAUCCGUCGCGCCAGAAAUUUUAUUUAAAGUCGAAGAAGAGAAAGACACACCGCCGCUAAAUCCUACAAACCACAACUAUUCCUGCUCGAUAUCCAAAAAAGAAGAGACAAAUGAGGAGGGGGAAGAGGAAGCCUCAUCACGGUCCGACAAGACAUCAGAGACCAGAAAAUGCAUCUUUCCAAGCGAUUAUCGAUAGAGAGAAGUGAGAGAGAGAAAAAAACAUUGCGCCUGAUUACACCUCGCGAACAUAAUUUUAAUCUUAACAUAUAAAUAUUAAAAGUUUAAAUUCUACUCAGACUAGAAUUGUAUGUAUCAAAUCAAGCUAAACUUUUUCUUGCACUAUGUCAAACAAGUGUUAUCAUCAGUUAUAUUUCAAACUAAAUACUUGUAUAUUAAACACAAUUAAGUAGAAAAUGAGAGCGAAAAAAAUGAAAACCGUAUUCUAGACACUAAUUUAUCGCUUGAAGAUCACGAAUCAAACCAUGUGCACUGUUCAAAUGCAAACACUUUGAAAAAUUCUUUUUGUAAUUAAAAACAAUUAGAGAACCGAACCAUAAAAGUAAUCAUAUUCCCCCACAAACUACUAAAUCACCACGUUCCGUUGUGUGUAACUUAAGGCAAGUUUUGAAUGUAUCAGACUUUCUUGUAUCUAUACAAAUCAUGAAAUUAUAUUAAUACCUUAGUUCAAAAACAAAAAAAGAAAUACUAAUACCGUAUGGAUGUGGUAAUUACAAAGAAACAAAUCGAAAUAAAGAAAAAUAAAUAAAAACAUGAAUGGGUGGAGGAGACACAUGGAUUUCAGCGUUAUUUUUCAAACUUCCUUUCAUACCCGCGCACUAGCCCCCCCCCCCAAUCCAUAGACGUUGCCCCUUUAUUUUAUUUUUAAUAAUUUUAUUUAUUUUCAUUAAAUUCCCAAAAUCAUUGAAAAUAUAAUUUAGAGAGAGAGAGAGAGAGAGAGAGAGAGAGAGAGAGAUGAGAGCGGCGAAAGUCUCAGGGAUCUUCAGAUGAUAGGGAAGAUAACCGUCUCAGAGAAACUUAUUCCCCAAGAAAAUAGAAUCUAGUGAAAAUUGACCUGUAUUUGCUCAGGUCAUUCAUCAUUGAUUCUGGUUAAGUUGCCAAUCAAAUCAUGAUGAUCCCUGGACGAGAAUUUUUUUUAAAAAGGGUGGAUCACAAAUAGAAAUAGGAGGAGGGGAGGGUGCAGAUGAAACGAUAAUAGCACUUGUAUGGAUUUUCUCGAAAUUGGCUGGAAUUUUCUGUGGAAGUGAAAGAUUUUUUCCCAAACGUCUGGUCAGAGAAAAAUAGAAAAUAACGAAUUUGAGAUUUUGGUCUUUUUUCUAAAACUAAAUAACUAAAAAUAAAAAUUUGGGC
rnacentral:lncRNA from 1 species